ACAGCAGGCUGCAAUUGCAGUGCUUCAUUCCGUGGGAGUACUGCCAUUUUCCUGCUGAGAGUAAUUCUGUUAAUGCUGCCUGGUUUUACCUGCGUGUUGGUGAAACUGUUUGUCCUUAACAUGUACACCC
rfam:Callipepla squamata strain Texas jcf7180005231460, whole genome shotgun sequence.